GUGAGCGAAUCCCAAAAAUAACGUCUCAGUUCGGAUUGUAGUCUGCAACUCGACUACAUGAAGCUGGAAUCGCUAGUAAUCGCGGAUCAGAAUGCCGCGGUGAAUACGUUCCCGGGUCUUGUACACACCGCCCGUCACACCAUGGGAGUCAGUAACGCCCGAAGCCGGUGACCCAACCUAUCUGGAGGGAGCCGUCGAAGGCGGGACGGAUGACUGGGGUGAAGUCGUAACAAGGUAAC
rnacentral:rRNA from 1 species